rnacentral:rRNA from 1 species
CACGUAGGAGGCAAACGUUAUCCGGAUUUACUGGGCGUAAAGCGCGUGUAGGUGGUUCUGUAAGUAGGGCGUGAAAGCUCCCGGCUCAACUGGGAGAGGCCGUUCUAUACUGCAGAGCUAGAGGAUGGUAGAGGGAGGUGGAAUUCCAGGUGUAGCGGUGGAAUGCGCAGAUAUCUGGAGGAACACCAGUGGCGAAGGCGGCCUCCUGGACCAUUCCUGACACUCAGACGCGAAAGCUAGGGUAGCAAACGGGAUUAGAUACCCGCGUA